rnacentral:lncRNA from 10 species
UCCAGAGUCUCCAGUGCCAGUCGGAGCAAUCAUACAUACUUGAUGAAUGAAUGAAUAAAUGAAUGAAUGCUCAACAUCUCCCAGAGAACAUACAUCCAGUGUCUGGUUCUGAGGCUCACCCUCUGCAGGAGGGGUGGUCACCAUUUGAGCAAAUCUACGAUCGUGGGGAUUCAAAGGAAAACCAGAGGAAAGUGGGGAGCCCUUGAGUUAAUCUACAGGAGAGAUGUCUGCACAGAGCAGGGCAUGCUGUCAGUGCAUGGUUCAGGGGUACGUGAGCUAGUUGGUAUGUUUAAAGUGGAUUCAUCCUGGAAUUCCCAUCUCACUACUCAGGUUGUAAGUUGAGCUGCAGCAUUUAAAGAAAGGCACCAAGGAUGUGGUUGGGAAUGCACCGCCUAGAGCUAUUGCAGACAGUUUGCAAUCAUGAGGGAACCAAGAACUUCAGACCAAAGCUGAUAUGAAGACUUCUAUGGAACUGUUGAAUUAACCAAUGCUGGACCCACCCUACCCCCUGGAUUCUUGCUUGAUGAGGCAGCAAAUAUCUAUUGUUCAACCCAGUGGAACUUGAAAAUGACACAGAGAGAAAUGCAAGUGGCAAUAGGAUCCAGAAACCGAGAGACUCAUGGAAAGGAGGCAGCCGGUGGAAGCAGGAGACAGCAGAAGCCAAGCCAAACAGCAAAAGAAGGAAAUUGAAAGGAGCCAGAAGGGGUCAUCUGAGAGAUGUCAAGAGUGGCAGCAGAAACAGACAGGCACCUCCUGUGCCAAUGCCUGCUUUUGAGAGAUCAAGAUCAUGGUAUCUGUAGACUGAGAACAAAGUGUGAGACUCAGAACUAAGUCCAUUCAAGCUCUGCAUUUCUUUGUUAUGUCCCUUUCAUCAGUAAUUUCCAUUAGUUCCUUACAUCUCUUUCAUCAUGAAUUUCCACCAGAGAAUCUAAUUGCAUCAGACUCGCUGAAAAAGUUUAACUAAUAGAUCCAAUAUUUACCAGCCUGUGAUCUUGGGUAAGUCACGUAUCCUGCACGAACAUGAGUUGUUUCAUCUCUAUGUGUGAUAGGCAAAAUAAUAGCCCUAAACAUGUCCACAUCCUAAUUCUCAGAAUUUGAGACUAUGUUACCUUACAUGGCAAAAGGGAUUUUGCAGAUAUGAUUAAGUUACAACAUUGAGAUAGGGUCCUAUGUUAUACAUGUGGGCCCAGUCUAAUCAUAUGGGUUCUUAAAAUCAGGGAGAGAUUUUCCCAGCUGUGGUCAAGGAGAGAUGUGAUGAGGGAAGAAUGGUCAGAGAGAUGCUGCACUACUGGCUUUCAAGAUAGAGGAAGGGGCCGUGAACCAAGGAAUGUGGAUGGCCUCUAGAAGCUGGAAAAAGGCAAGGAAGCAGAUUCUUCCCAACCUAAAGAGGAGGAACACAGCCUGCCAAACACCCCAGCUUUAGCCCUGUUAAACCUGUGUUAAACUUUUAACCUAUAGAACUGUAAUAUAACAGAUUUGUGUUGUUUUAAGCUGUUAAGUUUGCAGUAACUUGUUACAGCAGCAAUAGAAAACUAAUACAUUCUGAUGGCUAACACUACAUAUGCAUGGGAAAAUGUCUAAAAGAAUGUAUUCUCCAAUGUAACAUUGGUUUUGUCAUCUUUUCAAAUUAUUUCUUUUUUCUGGUUUCAAUAACGACUGUGUGUUAUUUGUGUAAUAAAGAAAUGAUGGAAAUGUUAAAGAAUAAGUAAUAUGUACUAAAUAAAGUUAGAUGACCUCUAAGGCUCCACCUAACUGUGGCAUUAUCUGAGCAAUCCAGCUGGUGGCUUAAUUGCCAAUCCAUAUCCUGUUUCUUCUUGGAUGCCAUAGACAGGUCUUAACUCCUCCACAAAGGAACCAGAAAGAGCA